ensembl:lncRNA LINC01884 long intergenic non-protein coding RNA 1884
GAGCUGCCUUUUCCCUUUUAUCCUAUGGGGACACAGUAAGAGGAUGCCAUCUAUAAAUCAGAAAGCAGAGUCUCACCAGAUACUGAAUUUGCCAGUGCCCUGAUCAUGGACCCUCCAGCCUUCAGAAUUGCAACAGACACCUGAGCCAUGUACUCCUCCUGAUGGAUCGCAGGAGCAUAAGAUGGUAAGCCGAAACACAGAAUACAUCACAAAGCCCAUCCUUGAAACUAGGACAAUGUCCAUCAGCUACAAGCCCUAUGAUUAAGUCCAUCAAAGGUGAAGUAGAUGGAACUCCAUAUAGACAAAAAUAAAGGUGACAGCACUUCUCACAAAACUGGGACAACUAACUGUUUAUCCAACAUCUGCUGGCUAAAUAAAGACAUGAUCUUCACCUUUUGGGAUUGUUAAUUUAAAAUGGUUCCAUAAGAGCAAUGCAAAGACAGAGAUAUUUGGCAGCACUGCAGCUGGUGAUUUAUAUGGCUCUUCACAAGGUGUUAUUUUGGGGUAUCAAGGUAUGGAUGCUUAAAUCAGCUGCAGGAAGUAAGAAAGAAGAAAAAAGGAGUGAUAAAGAUAAAAAAAAAUCAACCUUGGUCCUUCCACCAAGACCCAUUAAUUUCCAUAUCAUCAUCUGCAUAAGAGGGAAGAUUCCUACAUGACCAGGUUACUGCAAGGAUGUGAAUUUUGAAUAUUAAAAUAUUAUACACAAUUGGAAAUAA